UAAGCGGAGGAAAAGAAACCAACCAGGGAUUGCCCUAGUAACGGCGAGUGAAGCGGCAACAGCUCAAAUUUGAAAGCUGGCUCUCGGGCCCGCAUUGUAAUUUGCAGAGGAUGCUUCUGGCGACGCGCCUUCCGAGUUCCCUGGAACGGGACGCCAUAGAGGGUGAGAGCCCCGUCCGGUCGUGCGCCUAGCCUCUGUGAAGCUCCUUCGACGAGUCGAGUAGUUUGGGAAUGCUGCUCAAAAUGGGAGGUAUACGUCUUCUAAAGCUAAAUACCGGCCAGAGACCGAUAGCGCACAAGUAGAGUGAUCGAAAGAUGAAAAGCACUUUGAAAAGAGAGUUAAAAAGUACGUGAAAUUGUUGAAAGGGAAGCGCUCAUGACCAGACUUGGGCUGGCUCGAUCAUCCGGCGUUCUCGCCGGUGCACUCGGGCCGCUCAGGCCAGCAUCAGCUUCCGCCGGGGGAUAAAGGCUUCGGGAAUGUGGCUCCCUCGGGAGUGUUAUAGCCCGUUGUGCAAUACCCUGGUGGGGGCUGAGGUUCGCGCGUAUGCACGGAUGCUGGCGUAAUGGUUAUCAGCGACCCGUCUUGAAACACGGACCAAGGAGUCGUCUUCGUAUGCGAGUGUUCGGGUGUCAAACCCCUACGCGGAAUGAAAGUGAACGCUGGUGAGAGCUUCGGCGCAUCACCGACCGAUCCUGAUGUUCUCGGAUGGAUUUGAGUAAGAGCAUACGGGGCCGGACCCGAAAGAAGGUGAACUAUGCCUGUAUAGGGUGAAGCCAGAGGAAACUCUGGUGGAGGCUCGCAGCGGUUCUGACGUGCAAAUCGAUCGUCAAAUAUGGGCAUGGGGGCGAAAGACUAAUCGAACCUUCUAGUAGC
rnacentral:rRNA from 1 species